UGGUGGAGUGAUUUGUCUGGUUAAUUCCGUUAACGAACGAGACCUUUAUCUGCUAAAUAGCUAAGCGUAUCUUCGGAUAUUCUUUAGCUUCUUAGAGAGACUUUAUGGGUCUACCAUAAGGAAGUUAGAGGCAAUAACA
rnacentral:rRNA from 1 species